CGUGUGCGGUCCCUCCCCCUCACGUUCUCUCUUCCUCUGCUCCGCCAUGAUGAGAAGCGCCUGCUUCCCCUUCCCCUUCCGCCAUGAUUGUGUUUCCUGAGACCUCCCAGCCACGCUUCCUGUACAGCCUGCAGAACUGUGAGUCAACCAAACUUCCUUUUAAAAUAAAUUACCCAGUCUCAGUUAGGUCUUUCUAGCAGUGUGAGAACGGACACGUAGAGGGUGUGAGAGCCAGAAGACUUUAAGGAGAGGGACGAGCUGGGGCCUGGAUGCCCGGGGAGGUGGACCUGGACCAGGACAGGUGUCAGCGGGCAGAGAUGGGGCAGAGGUGCGGCUGUCUACCCGCGACCGGGGCCAUGCCCUCUCGGGCUCGGUUGAGGAGCUGCUCUUCCUCCAGAAUGCGCUCGGACGGAACGUUAGGAAGGCCCUGGUGAGUGGCCCCGACCUCCUCCCCCAGGACUGGCUUCUCCGGCCCUCUGCCCUUUCGGGCAGAACAGCUCGUGGCUCUUCCAGGACCUGGGGCUCCAUCUUGCAGAACAGCUCGUGGCUCUUCCAGGACCUGGGGCUCCAUCUUGCAGAACAGCUCGUGGCUCUUCCAGGACCUGGGGCUCCAUCUUGCUGAGGGGUGCUUUCUUGAGACUCCUUAGGGACGAUUCUGAUUUUCCCUGGAGCUGUACAAUGGCGGUUUAUCUUUCAAGGUCCCCUGGGCCUGGGCUCCGAGGCAGCCACUUUCCCUGGAGCCCGUGAAGGAGGUUUGGACGCCAGCUGGGCUGCCUGCCUGUGGCGGGGCAGGAAUGAGAGCUGGUGCGGCUGGGGCCCCUGGGUGCCUGGUCCUGCUCUCAUGACGCCCACCCCUUGAACCCUGACAUGGGCGCCCAAGGAUUCUCCCCGCAGGCUCGCAGACUCACCUGAUCACCGGGAGAUGUUUGAGAAGGAGCCUGUGUCAAAGUGUAGGCAUCAGAUGAAAAUUUACCUUCUUGUUACCUAUGUAAAUGGGCCGGGCUCCACGAAGUCCUUGGCUGAGAACGGUGCCACUGACCGACUGAGCUCCCGAUCGUUCUGAGAGAGGCUUAUGUGCACAGUGGACGUGGAAGGCUUUGAUGAUGUUGGUGAAACUCUCUCUGACGCUGUCAGAGAUGGAUUGGGGACAAUCCUGCGGGGAGGUGCUGAGGAGGGCAGCUACGACAACUGGCCCCACACCAGGAAAAGCUGGGGGCCGCUGAGCCCAGGCCACCAACGGGAGCUGUGGACCCAGCCUGACCCCUGGACCGAGGUGCUUUCAGGGCACAAGGGGGAUGCGGGAGCCUGUGGCUGCUGUUGCUUCUGCUCUCAGUUCAUAAACGCACGCUGUGCACAUCCCCUGUGCUUGGCAAGGGGCCUGGAUAGAAGGGCCAGUGAGGAGAUGCCCAUCCUCCAGGCACUGUGCCUCCUCCCAAAGGUCAGCACCCGGAGCAUCACUGUGCCCUCCCCACAAAGGUCAGCACCCCGAGCAUCACUGUGCCCUCCCCACAAAGGAAAAUCUCCAUGAUGCCAGCAGGCGUGUCCACAGAGGAAGGGGCGAAGAAAAUGUCGAAUGGACAGGCGACCUGCAUCCUGCCCAGCUCGGAAGAGGAGGACGUCCUGAGAUUUGCCACAGCCUGGAGGCGAUUGCGCUCGUGACAAAAGCCAGACACAGAAAGACAAAUACCACGUUCUAAUUUGUGCAUGGGAGCUAAAAUAGUUGAGUUCAUAGAGGCAGAGGGUGGGGAAGGGCUGGGCAGGGGGGAACUGGGGAGAGGUUGGUCGAAUGGCACCAAGGCUCACUUGGGAGGUGACAAGCUUGGGACAGCAGGGUGGCCGUGGUGAAGGAGAACGUGUUGGGUACAUGGAUUUGCUGUGACCUGACCUCAAGUGCUCUUGCCACAGAACCCAGGUGCUCCCUGCUGGAAAGCCACACGCGGCAGAGGAGAGCUGGCAGGAGGAAAAGCGGGUUCGAGUCAGCAGCCUUUGGAGACGGCAGACUGAGAGUGUCACAGAGACCAUCUCAAGUCUGCACGAAUUCCAGGCUCUUUUAUGUUAAGGGCAGGGGGACGGGGAGGGGGUUGGGAUCAAGAGGUGACAGGUGACCGCACACAUGUGGGUGCCAGCGAGGGUCCGAGGAGGCUGGCGAUGCCUUCGUCCUUGGUCAGGUCACGAGCACCUGUGAAUCCACAGCAGAACAGCUGUUCACAGCUUCCCCUUUCAUCCCGGAGUGAGUUUCAAAACCUGCAUCACGACUGCCUCUGUGUAUUUUCUCCGUCCUCUAGAAGAUCCUAGGCUCCGUGCAGGAAUGGGUGAAGGCCCCUUACACAAAAACAAAGUCAGGUCCUGAGUUCUUUUGCUGUUUCUUUGCUUUCUCCUGCAAAGUCACUCGAAAGGUGACUGGCGGAGGUGAGGCUGCGCUAAUUAGCUUGAUUGUGGUGACCCUUCCACAAAGCACGUGUAUGUCGGCAUAUUCACUGGGUCAUGCACCUCGAAUACAUAUUUUUACUUGUCAAAUACAUGAUAAUAAAGG
rnacentral:lncRNA from 1 species